rnacentral:lncRNA from 1 species
CUGAUAUCUUAAUGUUUAGCGAGUAGCUAGCUAAAACCACAGACAAACAAUUAGCAUUGUAAUAGUUUUUUUGCUAGGAUAUCAAGCUGACACUAUCGUAAGGAGAGCUGCUAAGCAACUAAAGGUAUCUAGCUAGCAUACCUGGCUAAUUACCUAGAUAGGUUAGCUGUCUAGCCACAAAUGGCACAAUGAGCUAGAUAUUUCACCGGAUGUAUAAAUGUGAAUCAUCUGGUUGUCGUUUCCACUCACUACCAAAUAUGGUGAUGAGAGGAAGCUAGGUUGCCAGCAGUGAGAGAAGAUGGAGGGAGAUUUUGACGGACAUUCUGCAAAUUUUCUCAUCGAUGAAACAUUUUAUCUCCAUACAGUUUUCUGUUUCCAAAACUAGAACCAGUAACAAACAGAGUGGACUGCGGAUGGAGGACAGGGAGGAAAGCCAGGAGUUAUCAUGUUCCUCAGCAACACCAGAGAGAAUCUCCACCCCUCCAGAACCAUCCAUGUCCUCCAAACACAGGAAGUCACCUAAGGGACGGCAGGAGGGAAAGAGGUCUCAACGCCAUCACACACUUGCUGCUGCCCGACUGAUAGCAAGGCAGGUUUCCCGGCCAACAGGAACACUCCGAGCCAUCUGGGUCUUCGACGGCGGAGAUCUCCCCUAAUAAUUAUGGGUCUGAGAGAUGCAGAGAGCUGACUUUCUCCAUGGUGUCACGGCCGUCGUAAGGAUUGGACCAAAAUGCAGCGGGUUAAGAUGACAUCUAUAACUGUAUUGACCGGAUCAUCUGUUUGGGAGGAGAUGGGACUCUACUCUGCGCCUUCUCUCUCUUUAAGCUUUUAUGGUCAUACCCCAACAGAAGGCAUGAACAGCAGCCCGGCCCAGCGCCUCAUGGCACGGCGCUGAAAAGCAGCUCUGCCAGUAGCCAACACUCUCCUGGAGACCUGUGUGGUGACAGACGUGCUGGAGAAGCUUUGUCACAGAAGACAGGCAUCCAAGUUCAUCUAUGGACCACUGUACUGUCGUAACAGGGUUGACCUUCGGAUUGCUGAGCCAGCACUUACUCAGAACCCUAAUGACAAUAGGGGUUGCAUGACAAAGGAUGGACCCCAGCAAGUCAUGUGGGGCCUGAGGCACAGUACGAAGAGCUAGGGGAUCACAAGGCAGCCGCUCCCUCACCCAUCAACACUCCCCUCAGACAGUCAGGUGACACGCCUGCAAGUGAUCUCACAGAAAAGCCCCGUCUUUUCAUUCUGUUAUGUACUGUUGACAGACAGAAAAAAAUACAUGUAAAAGAAGGGGAAAAAUAAGUAUUUAUUUUAUACCUGAAAAAACUGUUCAUGAUGAAUAUUAUUACUAGGUUUGUUUUGUUAUUGAAUUGACAGCUCCUGUCCUACUUUAUAAAAGGGUGAUGUUAUGGGUGUAAGACGGCAUGUUGAUGCAGCAGUGUUUUUACCGGUGUGCUUGACAUACCUGGAUGUAUUGCAAUGUGCUGAACAAGACUGGUUACUCGCAUCAAUGACUCUGUCUAGUCAUUUACGUUCCAGACAGCAUUGAAAGUAUUGAAAAACCAUCCAGUGGCUUUUUUCAAAACCCCCGGUAUACGGUAUAUACUGUAUAACGCCUAAGCCUAUCGUGAACUCAUCAGGGUGUCCAGUGUGGCAGUCCCCUGCACCAACCUCUCCUAACUGUAUAUGUGUGUGUCUUUCAGAGGGGUUGGGAUAAAGCAGAAGUCCUUGGACCUUGUGUUCAACAAAUAAAGGGAUCUUAAUCUUAAUAGUAUCUCUUUGCCAUUCACCCAUGUCGUCUUCCUGUCAUUUCAUGACCUUACUACUUAUCUGUCAUGACCCUAAUCAACUUGUCUUUGCAGCCAUUCCUGGGAAGCCCCUUUCUACUGUACUAUUAUUAUGUUUUAGAAUUUACUUGUAAUUUACUCUGCAGCUUCUAAUUUAAACCAUAGUACCAUUGUGGUUUUCUUAUUCACUUCCAAUUAUUAGCUAUUAUGUACAGUUUUCCAAGAGACAUCUAUGCUACGCUGCUACACUACACUGUAUGUAACAGGUGACAUCAUUCACAUGAGGUAGUGAUGGAUGCCCCAUAUUGUUGAUGUCUUCCAUGCUGUUACACAGCUAUUAUGUACCGUUUUCCAAGAAACUCGUUCAACGUUUAUGCCACACUGCUACACUAUGUAACAAUGAGGUGGUGGCGUGUAUUCAUGGGUGCCAAGAGAAGCCAGACUUCCCCAAAAAAUGUAGCAAGAAAAAUAAAUGCAGAUAAUAAUUGA